rnacentral:rRNA from 1 species
AAGGAUCAUGUAACCUAGAGUUGAUUCGAGCUCCGGCUCGACUCUCCCACCCAAUGUGUACCUACCUUCUGUUGCUUUGGCGGGCCGCGGUCCUCCGCACCGGCGCCCUUCGGGGGGCUUGGCCAGCGCCCGCCAGAGGACCAUAAAACUCCAGUCAGUGAACUUCGCAGUCUGAAAAACAAGUUAAUAAACUAAAACUUUCAACAACGGAUCUCUUGGUUCUGGCAUCGAUGAAGAACGCAGCGAAAUGCGAUAAGUAAUGUGAAUUGCAGAAUUCAGUGAAUCAUCGAAUCUUUGAACGCACAUUGCGCCCCUUGGUAUUCCGAGGGGCAUGCCUGUUCGAGCGUCAUUUUCAACCCUCAAGCUCUGCUUGGUAUUGGGCCCCGUCCUCCACGGACGCGCCUUGAAGACCUCGGCGGUGGCGUCUUGCCUCAAGCGUAGUAGGAAAACACCUCGCUUUGGAGCGCACGGCGUCGCCCGCCGGACGAACCUUUGAAAUUAUUUCUCAAGGUUGACCUCGGAUCAGGUAGGGAUACCCGCAUGAACUUAA